rnacentral:lncRNA from 1 species
GCGAAGGCUCUGUAGAGUCACUCGGGCUGUGGCUUUCAGGCUGCAAACUGUCUCUAAGACGAGGAGACAGCCGUUGUUCUUGGAUGACCUUCUCAGGGGAGGAAGAGGAGCAUCCUCGAGGAGAGUUCUCAGGGUUUGCUAACAUCAGGACUGAAGGAGAAGGAAGUUUUGUCGAGCUUCAUCUUUGAGAAGAAAGCUAGAAGACAGAGGUCCCAGGGUGUUUUGGUUACUCUGGAGUGAAACAUGGAGGAGAGAACCAUAAAAUAUUUCCAGAGCUCUGUGACUAGUACCAUUGAGUCUCUGUUUUUGUUUCCUGGAGGUAAUUAGCAUUCAAACAACUUGUGUGCUCUGGGUUGCCCAAUAGGCCCCUGGGCAGGGAGAGCGCCAGCCUUGGAGCAAGAUGGUUGAGUGAGUGGUGGCACUUAUCACAGGAGAGAAGAGCGAGCUGGGCCUUGGACGACUCCUGCAGAGAGAAAAAGAGAGCGUGGGCAGCGGGCCGAGAGCGGUUGAGCGAGCGCUGGGCCGAGCAGGAGAAAGGCCCCCGUGAGGUUUCCAGAUGCAGGGCCAUACACUCUCCGAAGCACUUCUUCACUCUUGUAAUUCUCUCCCCACCCUUUGGUUGAGGAACAGGUGAUAUUUUUAGCUCUGUUUUCCUAGUAAGUAAGUUAAUUUUCAGAGAAGAUAAAGUAACCCCAAAGACACAGCUGGAUAGAAGUUGAUCUAGGGCUAGAAGCCAGCUCUCCCAACCUAUGGAUCAGGGUUCCUCACUGUCCCCCAAUGCCACUGGAACCUGAAAUGGCACAGCCUGGUCUGGAGGACAUUGAGGAGCAUAAAUUAGGCAGAGGAAGGAGUGUGGGUAUGGGGAGUGUUCCAGGCGGAAGGAACAGCACUUCAAGGCCUUGAGGAAGGAGCGAGAGUGGUGCUUCCUGAGAACCAAAACAGGCCAGGAAGGCUGGGCCACGGAAAGCAACGUGGGGGCUGGUGUGAGGUGGGACUGGAUUAUGAAGAGCUCUGAGAGCUCACUUGCCACUUCUUCAGCGGGACCUGCCUACCUCCAGCAGCAGAUUCCUUCCUAAAGAGCGUCAGCACACUCUCUCCCGUGGACUUCCGCUGUACCCAAUGGCACUGACCUUUGAGCCACUGGUGGCAGUGUGGGGGGAGGCACGGGAUUAACAACCUAAAUCGUAGUCCACAUUGGUCCAAGUCACGAG